UAAGAGUUGCCGCGCAUGCGCUCACUCGACUGUAUAUUUCCGGUACGGGCAAUGCGGUGAAAAACAAAUAAAAAAAGCAAUAUAAAAGACUAAACAUUUAUAAAAACAAAGGCUUAGUAGACGAGGAAGUAAACAGUGAACAAGAAGCAAAAGAAGAAGUACACACCGGAUCCCAGAUGGACGCGGAGUCUCAGCGAGUAGUGAAGUAUUUAUCAGAGGUGGAAGAGACAGCUGAAGAUGUCCUUACAACUAAACAACAGAUGGUUGACCUGGACAUGAAGAGAAACAAGAACAGAGAAGCACUCAAUGCUUUGAAAGAUGAAACAUGUUCAGAGAAAGUGAAGGUUUGUUUUGGAAACAUGUUCAUCAAAUUCCCCAAGUCCAAAGCAAGAGAAGUCAUCCAGAAAGACCAAGAAGAGCUGAACAAGGAACUCAAUAUGCUUCACACCACAUUAAAAGCUAAAGUCAACCAGCUCAAUGAGAUGCAAGGGAAACCUGAGCUGAGAGGCUACAAGCUUUCAGCUCUGUCCACUGAUGAAAUGAAAGCCAUUAACAGUCUUUUAAAGAGGUUUCGGUGAGAAAAUUGUGGUAAAAAGUCGCCUCUUACCGGAGAUAAGCUGAGCUUGCGCCGUCCAUGCAGCUGAUGUCGACUUCCCUCAGACACUGGAGUCAAGACACCCGUGGACACACCCCUCGACUAUCAGCCUAUCUCAGCUGCAUUCAUGAUCCAUCCAUCCAUUUUCUACUGCUUAUUCCCCUUGGGGUUGCGGGGGGCCCUGGCGCCUAUCUCAGCUACAAUCUGGCGCAAGGCGGGGUACACCCUGGACAAGUCGCCACCUCAUCGCAGGGCCAACACAGAUAGACAGACAACAUUCACACUCACAUUCACACACUAGGGACCAUUUAGUGUUGCCAAUCAACCUAUCCUCAGGUACAUGUCUUUGGAAGUGGGAGGAAACCGGAGUACCCGGAGGGAACCCACACAGUCACGGGGAGAACAUGCAAACUCCACACAGAAAGAUCCCGAGCCCGGGAUAGAACCCAGGGCUACUCAGGACCUUCGUAUUGUGAGACAGACGCACUAACCCCCUGCACCGUGCUGCCGCAUUCAUGAUUAUUUGCACACUAAAAAAAAAAGUUUCUCAGGGGGAAUAAUAAAUAUCUUGUCUUUGCAGUCCAUUCAAUUGAAUAUAGGUUGAAAAGAAUGUGCAAAUCAUUGUAGUCUGUUUUUAUUUAUGAAUUACACAACGUGCCAACUUCACUGGUUUUAGGUUUUGUAUAUUACAUAUGUAUGUUUACAUGUAUAUAUGUAUAUAUACAUACAUGUUUGUAUACUAGUCUCUCUCUCUCUCUCUCUCUGUCUCUCUCUCUCUCUCUCUCUCUCUCUCCAUCCAUCCAUCAAUCCAUCUUCUACCGCUUGUCCCUUUCGGGUCGCGAGGGGUGCCAUAGCCUAUCUCAGCUGCAUUCAUGAUCCAUCCAUCCAUUUUCUACUGCUUAUUCCCCUUGGGGUUGCGGGGGGCCCUGGCGCCUAUCUCAGCUACAAUCUGGCGCAAGGCGGGGUACACCCUGGACAAGUCGCCACCUCAUCGCAGGGCCAACACAGAUAGACAGACAACAUUCACACUCACAUUCACACACUAGGGACCAUUUAGUGUUGCCAAUCAACCUAUCCUCAGGUACAUGUCUUUGGAAGUGGGAGGAAACCGGAGUACCCGGAGGGAACCCACACAGUCACGGGGAGAACAUGCAAACUCCACACAGAAAGAUCCCGAGCCCGGGAUAGAACCCAGGGCUACUCAGGACCUUCGUAUUGUGAGACAGACGCACUAACCCCCUGCACCGUGCUGCCGCAUUCAUGAUUAUUUGCACACUAAAAAAAAAAGUUUCUCAGGGGGAAUAAUAAAUAUCUUGUCUUUGCAGUCCAUUCAAUUGAAUAUAGGUUGAAAAGAAUGUGCAAAUCAUUGUAGUCUGUUUUUAUUUAUGAAUUACACAACGUGCCAACUUCACUGGUUUUAGGUUUUGUAUAUUACAUAUGUAUGUUUACAUGUAUAUAUGUAUAUAUACAUACAUGUUUGUAUACUAGUCUCUCUCUCUCUCUCUCUCUCUCUCUGUCUCUCUCUCUCUCUCUCUCUCUCUCUCCAUCCAUCCAUCAAUCCAUCUUCUACCGCUUGUCCCUUUCGGGUCGCGAGGGGUGCCAUAGCCUAUCUCAGCUGCAUUCAUGAUCCAUCCAUCCAUUUUCUACUGCUUAUUCCCCUUGGGGUUGCGGGGGGCCCUGGCGCCUAUCUCAGCUACAAUCUGGCGCAAGGCGGGGUACACCCUGGACAAGUCGCCACCUCAUCGCAGGGCCAACACAGAUAGACAGACAACAUUCACACUCACAUUCACACACUAGGGACCAUUUAGUGUUGCCAAUCAACCUAUCCCCAGGUACAUGUCUUUGGAAGUGGGAGGAAACCGGAGUACCCGGAGGGAACCCACACAGUCACGGGGAGAACAUGCAAACUCCACACAGAAAGAUCCCGAGCCCGGGAUAGAACCCAGGGCUACUCAGGACCUUCGUAUUGUGAGACAGACGCACUAACCCCCUGCACCGUGCUGCCGCAUUCAUGAUUAUUUGCACACUAAAAAAAAAAGUUUCUCAGGGGGAAUAAUAAAUAUCUUGUCUUUGCAGUCCAUUCAAUUGAAUAUAGGUUGAAAAGAAUGUGCAAAUCAUUGUAGUCUGUUUUUAUUUAUGAAUUACACAACGUGCCAACUUCACUGGUUUUAGGUUUUGUAUAUUACAUAUGUAUGUUUACAUGUAUAUAUGUAUAUAUACAUACAUGUUUGUAUACUAGUCUCUCUCUCUCUCUCUCUCUCUCUCUCUCUCUCAAUCUCUCUCUCUCUCCCUCUCUCUCUCUCUCUCUAUAUAUAUAUAUAUCCAUCCGUUUUUUUACCGCUUGUCCCUUUCGGGCUGCAAGGCGUACUGAGGCGUAUCUCACCUGCAUUCAUAAAUAUUUGCAAAAAAACAACAAGUUUCUCAAUUCAAACAUUGAAUAUUUUGUCUUUGCAGUCUAUUCAAUUGAAUAUGUGUUUAAAAAGAGGUGCAAAUCAUUGUAGUCUGUUUUUAUGUAUGAAUUACACAACAUGCCAACUUCACUGGUUUUAGGUUUCGUAUAUUACAUAUGUAUGUUUACGUGUGUAUAUAUAUAUAUAUAUAUAUAUAUAUAUAUAUAUAUAUACAUAUACAUGUAUGUAUAUUAGUAUAUCUCUUUCUAUACAUAAUUGUAUUGUGCAGUUUUGCCUGUGUCAUAGCUUAGUCACACAGUAGGUGUGGUGUUCUUGGGAUGCAACUCAGUAUUCUUCUUCUUCCAAACACGACGAGUUGAGUUUAUACCAAAAUGGAUACAUGGAUGAUACAGCAGAGGAUUGGGAGAAUGUCAUGUGGUCAGAUGAAACCAAAAUAGAACUUUUUGGUAUAAACUCAACUCGUUGUGUUUGGAGAAAGAAGAAUACUGAGUUGCAUCCCAAGAAUACCAUGCCUACUGUGAAGCAUGGGGGUAGAAACAUCAUGCUUUGGGGCUGUUUUUCUGCUAAGGGUACAGGACGAUUGAUCCGUGUUAAGGAAAGAAUGAAUGGAGCCAUGUAUCGUGAGAUUUUGAGCCAAAACCUCCUUCCAUCAGUGAGAGCUUUGAAUGGUCGACUAAAUACUUAUUUUCCACCAUUAUUUACAAAUAAAUUCUUUAAAAUUCCUA